rnacentral:rRNA from 1 species
UUGAUCCUGCCAGUAGUCAUACGCUCGUCUCAAAGAUUAAGCCAUGCAUGUGUAAGUAUAAAUAAUUCUACUUUGAAACUGCGAAUGGCUCAUUGUAUCAGUUAUAGUUUAUUAGAAAAAAUGUACUACUUGGAUAACCGUAGUAAUUCUAGGGCUAAUACAUGAGUAAAUCCUCGACUUUGAAGAGGUGUGUUUAUUAGUAUGAAAACCAUAUGCUUCGGCAUAAUAGUGAGUAAUAAUAACCUUUCAUAUCGUAUGUUGAAAUAACGAUAGUUCUUUCAAGUUUCUGCCCUAUCAGCUUUCGAUGGUAGUGCAUUGGACUACCAUGGCAGUAACGGGUAACGAAGGAUUUGGGUUCGAUUUCGGAGAGGGAACCUGAGAGAUGGCUACCACAUCCAAGGAGGGCAGCAGGCGCGUAAAUUACCCAAUCCUGACAUAGGGAGGUAGUGACAAUAAAUCACAAUGCGGGACUUUUAGUUUUGCAAUUGGAUUGAGAACAAUGUAAAAGAGUUAUCGAUAAACAAUUGGAGGGCAAGUCUGGUGCCAGCAGCCGCGGUAAUUCCAGCUCCAAUAGCGUAUAUUAACGUUGUUGCAGU